CAGUCGCCGCGGUAAUACGUAGGGUGCGAGCGUUAAUCGGAAUUACUGGGCGUAAAGCGUGCGCAGGCGGCUUUGCAAGACAGAUGUGAAAUCCCCGGGCUCAACCUGGGAACUGCAUUUGUGACUGCAAGGCUAGAGUACGGUAGAGGGGGAUGGAAUUCCGCGUGUAGCAGUGAAAUGCGUAGAUAUGCGGAGGAACACCAAUGGCGAAGGCAAUCCCCUGGACCUGUACUGACGCUCAUGCACGAAAGCGUGGGGAGCAAACAGGAUUAGAGACCCCAGUAGUCCCUGUCUCUUAUAC
rnacentral:rRNA from 1 species